ensembl:misc_RNA Metazoa_SRP Metazoan signal recognition particle RNA
GCUGGGUGUGGUGGUGCACACCUGUAGUCCCAGCUACUGGGGAGGCUGAGAUGGGAGGAUCACUUGAGCCUGGGAGAUCAAGGCUGCAGUGAGUCAUGACCACACCACUGCACCCUAGUCCGGGUGACAGAGUGAGACCUUGUCUCCA